AGGGCCCAAAGGAUGAACCACAUUGCUCCCAGUCAAGACCCUUGUGCUUUAAUCGGUGACUGCCACCAAUCAGCCACACAACAUGUCACGCAACCUUUCCAGAACUUGAGAAGAUCCAACCAGUCUGUCAAAGGAGUAACAAAUUUGCAAAGGUGAGUUGAAAUAACAUGACACAUCUGGGACUGGCCUCAUUGACCUCUUUGGUAGUGGUGAUUCAUUAAGUGGUCACUUCUUGAGACAGCAAUAUCUGCUUGAACUGCUAUUAACAUUUUGAGACCUUACCCAGACUCAAUUGCUAAAUAAAGAAUCAAGAUCUCGAACCAAACCUUUCUCCUUUCAGGAUGUUGUGUUAGAAGUGACAUACAGAUAACUUUUCGUAUUCUAUGUGAGCAUCAUUUUCCUUGUGAAAUGUCUUGACGCUCCUUUGGAUGCAUUUCUACCCAACACAGGAUCCCUCACGCACACACGCCUGAUAGACGUUCAUCCAAGCAUGUGCUUAACUGAAUUAACAAGGUUUUAAAAUUGAACAAAGGAAGUCUAGAUCUUAUCAAUCUUUUAGUGUGUAACAUAACUCACCUCUUCUCCCCCUUUCGUAAAUAUGAAGAAUUCAGCUAUAUGAAG
rnacentral:lncRNA from 1 species